AACGAACGCUGGCGGCAGGCUUAACACAUGCAAGUCGAGCGCCCCGCAAGGGGAGCGGCAGACGGGUGAGUAACGCGUGGGAACGUACCCUUUUCUACGGAAUAACGCAUGGAAACGUGUGCUAAUACCGUAUGUGCCCUUCGGGGGAAAGAUUUAUCGGAAAAGGAUCGGCCCGCGUUGGAUUAGCUAGUUGGUGGGGUAAAGGCCUACCAAGGCGACGAUCCAUAGCUGGUCUGAGAGGAUGAUCAGCCACAUUGGGACUGAGACACGGCCCAAACUCCUACGGGAGGCAGCAGUGGGGAAUAUUGGACAAUGGGCGCAAGCCUGAUCCAGCCAUGCCGCGUGAGUGAUGAAGGCCCUAGGGUUGUAAAGCUCUUUCACCGGUGAAGAUAAUGACGGUAACCGGAGAAGAAGCCCCGGCUAACUUCGUGCCAGCCGCCGCGGUAAGAC
rnacentral:rRNA from 1 species